AAUUCGAUUAUUUUUGCAAAAUUUUGCAAAUUUUGCGAGAAGUUUGCAGAAUUUAUGCCCUGUCUUUUACUAAAUGCCAAGUCUCAACUUCGUCCCCUCGGCCCCUCAAGCUUUUUACCCCCACCCAGCACAUUUGUUGAAUUUUUGUUUAUACUUCCAAGUAUUGUGUAAAAGUUCGUAUCAGAUUUUAUUUUCAGUUUUGCAUACCGAAAUUGUCAAGUAAAAAGCUCGCUGCUUUUUCAAUAUUUUUACAGGAUCAUGUAAUGAUUCAAUGGCUGUUUUGUAGUUCAGACGCAUUCUAGUUGAAACCCAUAGUAGGUUUUCUAAUUUCAAUUUCAUCUUUCAUUUUUUGCAUUCUGUCAUUUGAUAAGUUACAUAUAUUUUUUGGUGAUGUCAAAAAAUAAGUCUCCCUAUUGUUACCAGAAGAAGACACUCUUGCAGAACACCCGUACUCUGUUCCGAACUCAUCAGCUGCGAAACAAGAACGCCUGAAAUUGGAUACAAGCGGACUGGAUGAUCCGCUCUCGGCAAACAAUAAUGACUCAGUGGGAUCCCAAGACAACAGUCACUUUUCACCUGUUGCCAACACUUUGCCCCACCACCAAGGCGUUCUGGAUUCCAAUUGUGCCCACAGACCCAGAUUCAACAGCGACCACAGUGACUUCAACAGUGACGUCAUCCUCGCUCAUCCAGAAGGGGUGGGGGAGGGAAACCAACGAUAUGCAAGCCCGUAUGAGUCACGUGGAUUUGUGGGAGGAUCGCACUACGGGACUAUGGUGUUGCACCCAACAGUUGGUGGGGGUGGGGG